rnacentral:misc_RNA from 1 species
GUCGCUGACAGACCUUUGUCUCUUACAGAUUUUAACGCCAUCAUUUACUAAAAUUGGUGUGGAAUUUCGUUCAAUUAUCACUACACUUAAUCUUCGGCCUGAACCUGUAUCUUUUUAGAAAUUGCAUGGGCAGCUUAUUGCUCAUGAGAUAUUGGUUAAAAGUACUCAAGAACCACCCAUGGCUAAUAUGGUUUUUAAAAGUAAUUCUUCAACUCCACUAUUGCCCACACCUCUGCAUCCAUCUUAUCCACGACGUAGCAAUUUUGGAGGUGGCAAUCGGCCACGAGGCCCAUGUCAGAUUUGUGGAUGGUGCAAUCAGAUGCUGAUAGGUGUAGAUGCCAUUAUGCUCCUUCUCCACAG